rnacentral:rRNA from 1 species
GAGCACGUAGGUGGGUUUGUAAGUCAGACGUGAAAGCCUUCUGUUCAACGGAAGAAUUGCAUCUGAAACUACAAACCUUGAGUGUAGGAGGGGAGAAUGGAACUUCUGGUGGAGCGGUGAAAUGCGUAGAUAUCAGAAGGAACGCCGGCGGCGAAAGCGAUUCUCUGGCCUAUUACUGACACUCAGUGUGCGAAAGCUAGGGGGAGCAAACGGGAUUAGAUACCCCGGUAGUCCUAGCCGUAAACGAUGGGCACUAAGUAGAGGGGUUUU